GUCUACGGCCAUGCUGCCCUGAACAUGCCCAGUCACAUCUGAUCUCGGGAGCUAAGCAGAGUCGGCCCUGGUUAGUACUUGUAUGGGAGACCACCUAGGAAGACCGGGUGCUAUAGGCA
rnacentral:rRNA from 1 species